CUUUGACUCCGCGUCCCUAUUCUCCCUGCCUGCCUGCCAAGAAUCCUGCCAGCUCCCACCUCCACACCCUCCCGACUCGAGCCUCCAUCUCUCCCCGCUGCUCCUGAGUCCUGAGCCGCCGAGCGUGGAGGGAAGGCGCGGAGGCAGAGGUGCGGACGGCAGACUAAUGGGGACGGGGAGGGCGCGGGCGCUGCCCCUGGCGCUCGCCUUGCUCCUCGCCUGCUCCGACGUCGCCGUCGUCGCGGCGCAGGGCACCGAGCGGAUCCAAGGAAGUGCUGGUGAUGUGCUAGAAGAUGAUCCUGUUGGAAGGCUCAAGGUAUAUGUCUAUGAGUUGCCGCCCAAGUACAACAAGAAUAUUUUGGCAAAAGAUUCAAGAUGCCUCAAGCACAUGUUUGCUACAGAGAUCUUCAUACAUCGCUUCCUACUGUCGAGUGCAGUCCGGACAUUAAAUCCGGAAGAAGCCGAUUGGUUCUAUACUCCAGUAUACACAACAUGCGACCUUACACCAUGGGGCCAUCCCUUGACCACCAAGUCUCCACGUAUGAUGAGAAGUGCGAUUCAGUACAUUUCCAAGCGUUGGCCCUACUGGAACAGGACAGAGGGAGCAGAUCAUUUCUUUGUCACACCACAUGACUUUGGAGCAUGCUUCUAUUUCCAGGAAGCAAAGGCUAUUGAGCGAGGUGUCCUUCCGGUGCUGCGCCGUGCUACGCUGGUCCAGACUUUUGGGCAGAAGCAUCAUGUGUGCCUCAAGGAAGGCUCCAUCACCAUCCCACCAUAUACUCCUCCUCAUAAGAUGAGAACUCACCUCAUUCCACCAGAGACCCCUCGGUCAAUCUUUGUCUAUUUUCGUGGUUUGUUCUAUGAUACUUCAAAUGAUCCUGAGGGUGGUUACUAUGCAAGGGGCGCCCGUGCCUCAGUGUGGGAGAACUUCAAGAACAACCCGAUGUUCGACAUCUCGACAGACCACCCACCAACCUACUAUGAGGACAUGCAGCGUUCCGUCUUCUGCUUGUGCCCACUGGGCUGGGCCCCAUGGAGCCCCCGUUUGGUGGAGGCUGUGGUGUUUGGCUGCAUCCCCGUGAUCAUCGCCGAUGACAUUGUUCUUCCCUUUGCGGACGCGAUACCAUGGGAGGAGAUUGGUGUCUUUGUGGCCGAGGAUGACGUCACGAAGCUGGACACCAUCCUGACCUCCAUACCGAUGGAGGAGAUCCUUCGGAAGCAGAGGCUGCUCGCAAACCCAUCCAUGAAGCAGGCCAUGCUCUUCCCACAGCCUGCUGAACCCAGGGACGCCUUCCACCAGAUCCUGAACGGGCUCGCACGGAAGCUGCCGCAUGGUAAGGGCGUGUUCCUGAAGCCCGGGCAGAAGGUGCUGAACUGGACUGAGGGAGACCCGGCCGAUAUGAAGCCGUGGUAGGUAUAAACAUGUAGUGGCAUGGAACCAUCACCAUUCGCCAUGGCUGGUAUUCUUUUGUAAACGACACAACCAUACGAGAGGCUGAUCAUACAGUUGAGGAUGAUGCUUAACUGAAUGCUGAUUUAAAAUGGCUCCAUGUGUUCUUGACUUCUUGGUGUGGUGGCAAGUAAUGAAGCAAGGACAGAACCCAAAUGUUUGGCUUCCAGAAGCAUUUAUAUAGCUUAGUAGACAUAUGCAUGCCUUACAGAAGCACAACCUGGUACGAAUAAGCAUAAGACCAUACACAGAGUGUAUAUUCAGUGUUGCUGAUGAUUCAUGGGGCGGCGAUCUUCCAGAUUCAGAGAAGAAGGUAGUCCAUGUCCAUGUCCCUGCCAUCUUCCAGAUUCAGAGAAGAAGGUAGUGCACGGAGUAACUCUGUAUGGUGCCCUGACGAGACCCGCAAGAGUGGGGAUGCAUUGCCGGGAGAUACAUGCUGAAUAAUUCUAAAUUUGGACGGCCAGCGUGCACAAACGCGGGGAUAGCUCAGUUGGGAGAGCGUCAGACUGAAGAUCUGAAGGUCGCGUGUUCGAUCCACACUCACCGCAUCUCUUUUUCUCAACCUCGUACUAUUUUGUCCUUUUGCGCCUUGCACCAUUU